rnacentral:rRNA from 1 species
UACAGAGGUCUCAAGCGUUGUUUCGGAUUCAGUUGGGCGUAAAGGGUGCGUAGGCGGCGCGGUAAGUCGGGUGUGAAAUCUUGGAGCUUAACUCCGAAACUGCAUUCGUAUACUGCCGUGCUUGAGGACUGGAGAGGAGACGUGGAAUUUACGGUGUAGCGGUGAAAUGCGUAGAUAUCGUAAGGAAGACCAGUGGCGAAGGCGGGUCUCUGG